UUCAGAAUUCGUAUUGUGCGGUGUUGUGCAGGAACAAACCUAAUUUCUGAUCUUUGUCAUGUCGAACGACAUCUGUGCUAAAAAAAUAUAAAGUUUCGAUCAGUUUUGUUCUUGUUCAUUGUUUUCGCAUGAAAUUGUGAAUGUACAUUAGAAAAGUCGCGGUUGGAAGAAAAGUUCAAUCAGUCACAAAAGAGUCAGCAAACUCGAGUAGUCUGUACUUUUCAGCGUGUUCUGCCGCGCUUUAUUAACGAAAUUCGUUGAAAUGGACCCGAGCUUUCAGAGGAGAAAGAGGAAGGAGAGGUUGUACGACAGAAUGCAUAGGAGCUCCGUGCACGUCUGUAUGGGUGUCACGGUGAUCGCCAGUCUUGCCCUUGGUUACAAGGUGUACGAGUACUUUCGAUACAUUCGACCCUUACAAAUGGCGCAGAGAAAACUGGCCCAAGAUGAGCUUCUGCUUGAGGGUAGAAAUAUAGAGGAUUCUUCGUCGAACCUUGAAUUGUCGACAUAGGGCUCGAAUGUACUAUGGAGUCCAACUGAGUAUGUGUAAGCGAUCCUUCUAACACACGAUCAAUGAAAAAUGGAAGUAUUGAGUAAUUUGACGUGGAACAGUGCAUUUUCGAGAUUUGUAAUAUAUUAAUAGCUAGCAUAAUGAUGGGUUGUUAACGAGUGUGUGUACAUGUGUCUUAUUUUAAUGUAAAAAUUAUGCUCAUCUGUAAAUAAACUAUAUAGAUUUAUUAUGUUUUAUAUAAUGGAUAAAGCUUAUUCUCUAUUGCUGAACCAAUAUAUACUUGUGCUUGAAAAAAAUUUGAUAUACUGUAUAUAUUUCAAUAUUACAUAAGAUGUAAAUUACCAUUCACAAGUUUAUAAAUGCUUGAGAUUUUUUGCUUUUCACAACAAAUCAAGUAUAACAUAUUUUACAUCUUUGAUAGAAAAUCGAAAGUGUUGUAUAAAUUGUAAAAGUAGCGAUUCUUAUAAGAAAAAAUUUGAAGUACCAGUUUUUCAAUUUUAUGUACUUUAGGAACAAAAUAUCACAGAGACAAAACUAAAAGGAUUCACAAAGUUCUAUUUUAGUUCUUUAAGUCGUAUUUUUAAAAACUGAUUUUUUUCAAGAUGUUUAAUAUUUUACGAGAUAUGAGAAAAUUACAAGUAUUUCCAAGCUUACAAAUUUACAUCUGAUGUUUGGCGAAAGCAAAAAGUUUUAGGGUAGUCUAGUACAGCAGAGAAGCUGGCCUACAGUCUUGAAUUUAUUUUAAUUGUUACUAAUUUUUGUAAUGGCAGCAUAUCUCAAGUAUCAUGUUUUGAAUUACAAACCUUCAAUGUCCAUUUCUUUUAAAAUUAUAUGAGAUAACAUCUUAAAAAUGAUAAAUUAUAAAUCGUAAUUAAGAAAAGAAAUAAGUAAUUUGAGAAAAUGUAUACAUUAAAGUUUGAAUGAUUAUGCAGGGAUAUACUAUCAUUGAACUUGAUUCUCACAAGAGUCAAAUAAGUCUAUUUUAUUUAAAAAAUCUUUUAUGUUAUAUGAUAUGAAUAAAGCCAUGCAACGUAUCAGUUAAGCUAGAAAGAUAGUUAAAUGGGUGGAUGGAGAUAUGUGUGUGAUAGAAAAAUUGUAAACCAAGUCCCCUUCUUGGCAUUGUAAUGCUGAAGUGAAUAAAGAAUUAUAUUUAAAAAAAUCUUUAAAAAAAAAAA